AUAUAUAUAUAUAUAUAUAUAUAUAUAUAUAUAUAUAUAUAUAGCUUUUCCAUCUAGUUUUUAUUUGCUUCGAUGUAGAUGGCUUUAAUUUUGUAUCUGGAUCAGGAACCUCAUCUCUCAUCAACCUCGCUAAUUUCCAGCAUUUUUACAAAUACCGAGCCCUAGGUUGGGCUUUUAUCUUUUUUUCCUUCUAUUUUUGUUCUUUGUAUUUAGACUAAUUUUUUUUAGUAUUUAGUUUGUGCCCUAGUUGUUAACUUAGAUUUGCUCAAUUUUCAUUACUAAUUUCUCAUACUAUAUGUACCAACCUAGCUACCAUGUAAGUAGCAGUUUGUUAUGUGGUUGUAAUGGACUAUUAGGCAUUAUCAAAGUUUCUCUGUUUAAUUUAGUGAUUUCGGUGUUGGAACACUGCUAUUUACCCAAAGAAGGAUGCUUUACUUUAUAAUUCUGAUAAAAAUUUUGCUUUCUUUGAGCAAUUGAUGAUGAUUGGUAGGCCUUAUUGGGAUGAUACCGGUAGAAUGCCGGUAGAAUGACAGUCUUUCAUUUCACUUUCAGUAAAAUUAGCAUUUACUAAUUUCUUUCACCUUUAGUGAUAUCUGUUGUUGUCUAUCAAUAUCUCUCUUUCUUUUACCCUGUAUCUCUCUCUUCCUCUUCUUUUAUAUCUUCUUCAGGUAUUGCAUUUCUUUUCUUUUAUCAGGAUUAAGGGAUAAUCAAGUGGAGAACAUGGAAAAGAAACACUCAGCUUGAUUAACAGGUGAGCAAUGAAGCUUUGGGUCAGAUUUUAUCCUUGAAUUUCUGUUUGAUUUGUUGCUAAAUGCAGUGAAGUUUGCGUAUUUUAGUUUCAUAUUAGC
rnacentral:lncRNA from 1 species